rnacentral:rRNA from 1 species
GAUGAACGCUAGCUACAGGCUUAACACAUGCAAGUCGAGGGGCAGCAUGGUCUUAGCUUGCUAAGGCCGAUGGCGACCGGCGCACGGGUGAGUAACACGUAUCCAACCUGCCGUCUACUCUUGGACAGCCUUCUGAAAGGAAGAUUAAUACAAGAUGGCAUCAUGAGUCCACAUGUUCACAUGAUUAAAGGUAUUCCGGUAGACGAUGGGGAUGCGUUCCAUUAGAUAGUAGGCGGGGUAACGGCCCACCUAGUCUUCGAUGGAUAGGGGUUCUGAGAGGAAGGUCCCCCACAUUGGAACUGAGACACGGUCCAAACUCCUACGGGAGGCAGCAGUGAGGAAUAUUGGUCAAUGGGCGAGAGCCUGAACCAGCCAAGUAGCGUGAAGGAUGACUGCCCUAUGGGUUGUAAACUUCUUUUAUAAAGGAAUAAAGUCGGGUAUGCAUACCCGUUUGCAUGUACUUUAUGAAUAAGGAUCGGCUAACUCCGUGCCAGCAGCCGCGGUAAUACGGAGGAUCCGAGCGUUAUCCGGAUUUACUGGGUCUAAAGGGAGCGUAGAUGGAUGUUUAAGUCAGUUGUGAAAGUUUGCGGCUCAACCGUAAAAUUGCAGUUGAUACUGGAUAUCUUGAGUGCAGUUGAGGCAGGCGGAAUUCGUGGUGUAGCGGUGAAAUGCUUAGAUAUCACGAAGAACUCCGAUUGCGAAGGCAGCCUGCUAAGCUGCAACUGACAUUGAGGCUCGAAAGUGUGGGUAUCAAACAGGAUUAGAUACCCUGGUAGUCCACACGGUAAACGAUGAAUACUCGCUGUUUGCGAUAUACAGCAAGCGGCCAAGCGAAAGCGUUAAGUAUUCCACCUGGGGAGUACGCCGGCAACGGUGAAACUCAAAGGAAUUGACGGGGGCCCGCACAAGCGGAGGAACAUGUGGUUUAAUUCGAUGAUACGCGAGGAACCUUACCCGGGCUUAAAUUGCAGAUGAAUUACGGUGAAAGCCGUAAGCCGCAAGGCAUCUGUGAAGGUGCUGCAUGGUUGUCGUCAGCUCGUGCCGUGAGGUGUCGGCUUAAGUGCCAUAACGAGCGCAACCCUUGUUGUCAGUUACUAACAGGUCAUGCUGAGGACUCUGACAAGACUGCCAUCGUAAGAUGUGAGGAAGGUGGGGAUGACGUCAAAUCAGCACGGCCCUUACGUCCGGGGCUACACACGUGUUACAAUGGGGGGUACAGAGGGCCGCUACCACGCGAGUGGAUGCCAAUCCCAAAAACCUCUCUCAGUUCGGACUGGAGUCUGCAACCCGACUCCACGAAGCUGGAUUCGCUAGUAAUCGCGCAUCAGCCACGGCGCGGUGAAUACGUUCCCGGGCCUUGUACACACCGCCCGUCAAGCCAUGGGAGCCGGGGGUACCUGAAGUGCGUAACCGCGAGGAGCGCCCUAGGGUAAAACUGGAA